ACCCCGGUUCUUUUAAGAACCAUCAAAUACUAAAAAAAAUAUAUCU
rnacentral:ncRNA from 1 species